rnacentral:sRNA from 1 species
CAAUAGCCCUGAUGGAAGCGGCAUCCUCGUAGUCCCGAUCCCGAAGCAUCGGGACGGGACUCUGAGAUACAGAGGACAGCAGGAAGAUGC